CUGUUGAUGAACCGGGUGCUUGCACCGAGAUUCAACAUGGAACGAGUGGCGGACGGGUGAGUAACACGUGGGUAACCUGCCCUUAAGUGGGGGAUAACAUUUGGAAACAGAUGCUAAUACCGCAUAGAUCCAAGAACCGCAUGGUUCUUGGCUGAAAGAUGGCGUAAGCUAUCGCUUUUGGAUGGACCCGCGGCGUAUUAGCUAGUUGGUGAGGUAAUGGCUCACCAAGGCGAUGAUACGUAGCCGAACUGAGAGGUUGAUCGGCCACAUUGGGACUGAGACACGGCCCAAACUCCUACGGGAGGCAGCAGUAGGGAAUCUUCCACAAUGGACGCAAGUCUGAUGGAGCAACGCCGCGUGAGUGAAGAAGGCUUUCGGGUCGUAAAACUCUGUUGUUGGAGAAGAAUGGUCGGCAGAGUAACUGUUGUCGGCGUGACGGUAUCCAACCAGAAAGCCACGGCUAACUACGUGCCAGCAGCCGCGGUAAUACGUAGGUGGCAAGCGUUAUCCGGAUUUAUUGGGCGUAAAGCGAGCGCAGGCGGUUUUUUAAGUCUGAUGUGAAAGCCCUCGGCUUAACCGAGGAAGCGCAUCGGAAACUGGGAAACUUGAGUGCAGAAGAGGACAGUGGAACUCCAUGUGUAGCGGUGAAAUGCGUAGAUAUAUGGAAGAACACCAGUGGCGAAGGCGGCUGUCUGGUCUGUAACUGACGCUGAGGCUCGAAAGCAUGGGUAGCGAACAGGAUUAGAUACCCUGGUAGUCCAUGCCGUAACGAUGAAUGCUAUGUGUUGGAGGGUUUCCGCUCCUUCAGUUGCCCGCAGCUAACGCAUUUAGCAUUCCCGCCCUGGGGAGUACGAACCGCAUGCUGAAACUCAAGGAAGUGACCGGGGUCCGGCCACAGCGGAUGGAAGGCCAUA
rnacentral:rRNA from 2 species